UGUCUGGUGUGUCGUCAUCAAAUGACCUUUGACUGUCGUUACCAUCGUUACUAAUUAAAAAAGGAGGAGUGACCCAACAAUUCGCCGUGCGUCGUUGUCCAGCUAAAAAGGAAGACCAAAGGAAGGCCUGUCGAACUCUUGUGUUGUUUGUGGACAGGGAUGAAUCUGGCCAUCUUGUGUGUUUAUGGAGAAGACCAAAAGCUGCAAAGACAAACAUUUCCAAUGGAUUUCUCACAUACUACUCCUUCAGCUCUCCACAAUAUCAGCUCUUUCAAAAGCUUCCACGUCUCUGUCUCUCUGCUCUCACAUCUGCUCUCAGUCCUUUACUACCAGCUUCCAGUCUUAGCGUGUCUACGUGUAUUAAUUUCUCCUCUUCAGUCAACACUCCCAUCUCUACUGUGAGCACUUCUGUCGCUAUUACUAUGACUUUUAUAAUUAAAUUAUAAUUAUCAACCAUUUUAAUUUGUCUUGCAUAUAGUCACAAUAGAAGAAACAAUGAUUACAGGAGAUACAUUUUUAGCCUAUUUGUUCAUUAAAGGGGAAAAAAAUAACAUCUUUUCAAUUGGAGGCUCAAAACUUCCAGUUUGUAAAAUAUUUGUCAUCUUAUAACGUUUUUCUGUAAACAAACUCUUUUUCUUUUUGAAUAUGAGACAGAUUUUUUUAAAAGGGGUCUUCUAUUGCAUACUUUUUAGUUACAUGUUUGUUUCCAUGUACCCGUUAAUUACUUUAUCAAUCAGUCGAUGAUAUAAGUUGUUAUAUUUCACUAUAAUUGAUGACGUCUUUGCAGAUACAUUUUCAUAAAUCAACUAUUUUUUUUCUUAGUGACACUAGAGAGAAUGCUGUUCUGGGCACUAUGUUUGUCUUGGAAACGUUUGACAUAUCA